rnacentral:rRNA from 1 species
AAGCUACCCUGGGGAUAACAGGCUUAUCUCCCCCAAGAGUCCACAUCGACGGGGAGGUUUGGCACCUCGAUGUCGGCUCAUCACAUCCUGGGGCUGUAGUAGGUCCCAAGGGUUGGGCUGUUCGCCCAUUAAAGUGGUACGCGAGCUGGGUUCAGAACGUCGUGAGACAGUUCGGUCCCUAUCCGUCGCAGGCGUAGGAAAUUUGAGAAGACCUGUCCUUAGUACGAGAGGACCGGGAUGGACGUACCUCUGGUGUACCAGUUGUUCUGCCAAGGGCAUGGCUGGGUAGCUAUGUACGGAAUGGAUAAGCGCUGAAAGCAUCUAAGCGCGAAGCCAACUUCAAGAUAAGAUUUCCCACCGCAAGGGUAAGACCCCAGAAAGACUAUCUGGUUGAUAGGUCGAAGGUGUAAGUGCAGCAAUGUAUUUAGCUUAUCGAUACUAAUAGGUCGAGGACUUGACCAAAUU